GGGAUCUUGGAACCAAACCCCAGCGUAUAACAAGGGUCCACUGUAUUGUCAUGAUUUCAAUGUCUUCCCCUUUCUUUCUGGGGUCUUUGUAUUACCCCUGACCAUAAAUUAGUCCAGACUGUGAAAAGGAUGGAAUGCUCAGGAUAUCAUAGUGACAGUAAAUUUGAGAUCUUGGUAAAUUUGAAAUGGAAAGUGAAUUUGAAUGAACUCAACUGCUGUGUCAAUGAAGUCCUGAAUGCAAGACCUGGAAAGAUGGUAAAAUGCAGAGUGUCCUAAUUUUGCUUUGAUGUCCAUAAUUAACAGGUUGCAGAGGCAAAGCCGCUUGUAAUUCAGGCUGAUGUCCUGCAGAGGGAGUUAGAGAGCUGUCUAAAAAGAGACUAUACACCAGAAAGCUUACCUUUAUUACUGCACCAGUUUUUUACAGACAGAAUUACACAGUUGGUCCAAAGCAAAUAUUUACACAUGCUCAGAUGGAAAAGAUUUUGUCAGCACAGCAGUGUUAUUGAACAACUCUAUCCAUUCUACCAGAAACAAGUGGCUCAUAUUAUGCAGGAGUACAAUGAUGCUGUUCAAAGGGCUGUGAGGCUGUCAAGUGCCCGAGAGAACUUCCUGACCGGAAAGGAAAAUCCUACCAAUUUAGUGACCCAAGAAGACCUGACUAUUUACACACAAUGGCUAAUAUGCCACUUGCACUCACUUAAGGCUGUUCACAAGUACCUCCGGGUAAGAUGACUGGUACAGAUUGUGAAACAGAGAAUGGAAGUUCUAAGCUUCACUUCACACGUCUUUUAACAUUUGUAAGUUGAAAUCAUGGCCACAAAGGAAAUAGGAAUAUUGCAUGCUACCUUGCAUCCAUCAACAAGACAUGAGGGUUUCUCAGGUUUGUCAAGCUCUCACCCCAAAAGGUGCAAAUUUCAGAUGUUCAAUGGUCCCUGGGAAGGUAGUCCUUCCCCACUUCGACUAUAGCAGACAGGAGUAAGCUCUCGAUGGUUAGGCUGAACUUUAAAUAAGCUGUCCAGGGUGCUAAACCAUGCCCCCAACUAGGCUCAGCCCCUUGGAGAGCUCUUGGAAAAAACUGGGGGAGGGGGAACCCUGAGCAAAUUUACCAUCACACUGACAUCACAGGCAAAACCACACAUGAUUAUUCCUUGACUAAGAAGAACCUGUGAAAUUCAAGGGUCAUAAAUCCACAGGUUACUUGAAGGCACACACACACACACACCUCUUCAUAAAAUGGAAAAAGCAAGAGAAUGAGUGAAUCGAUCUGGGCCAAAGUGCUGUAUAGAAAAAUCAUGUCUUCAUAGGCAGCCAGUGACAUCUGAAGACACAGACAGGGCCCUGAUUCCCCACAUCCAACAUCACCUGGCCCACAAAAGGCUCCCUGGCCAGAAUCUCCAUUCCUGCUGUCUGGGGUUGAGUUUUUUUUAAAAAAAGCCCAACAAGAGUGAUUUUUCCCAGCUGGAUCAGGAGGGAUGCAUCAGAUAAUGAGCUCACUGCUCAGGAUAUACCUCUGUAUCAACACACACUUACAUGUGACAUUAUCAGAUCCUUCUGUAGAAAACAUUAGCCUGUAGUAUUCUUCACUUGUUUCAUGAAUAGCAAGUAGAUUCAGCAUGGUGUAGUGGUUUGAGUGUCAGACUAUGACUCUGGAGACCAGGGUUCUAUUCCCAACUUGGCCAUGAAACCCACUGGGUGAAGUCGAAGGCUUUCGUG